GCUGGGCAUGGUGGCACACGCCUGUAAUCCCAGCUACUCGGGAAGCUGAGGCAGGAGAAUCGCUUGAACCCGGGAGGCGGAAGUUGCAGUGAGCCAAGAUCGUGCCACUGCACUCCAGCCUGGGUGACAGAGUGAGACUCUGCCUCAA
rnacentral:SRP_RNA from 2 species